AAAUUUGGAUAUCAUGAAGGCAGCCGUGGCUACGAUUCUUAUCGCCAUUUGCGCUCUCCUUUUCCUGGGGACUAUAGUGGUUCCUAUAGCUGAAUCUGAAGCUAGAGUCGUACCUUCAGCAGAAGCCCGGGAGACUGAUGCGACUGCGAAGGAAUCAGAAAGAGGCAUUGGUGGCGGCUGCGCGGCCUCUCUGUGCGGCUAGCACCUGGACGGACGGCACACUCGUCUAGAAUGAAGACCAGAAGAAACCACGUAUUCCAUGUGUUUUCGCGGUGAAACCUUGUUAGUGGUGGCGGAAAUAAAUUUCUGUUUAAUUGA